rnacentral:tRNA from 1 species
AUAAAUUAUAAGGUUGCCCUUCUGUGUCU